UACGGAGGAUCCAAGCGUUAUCCGGAUUCAUUGGGUUUAAAGGGUGCGUAGGCGGAAUGAUAAGUCAGUGGUGAAAUCCUGCAGCCUAACUGCAGAACUGCCAUUGAUACUGUCAAUCUUGAGUACAUUUGAUGUGGGCGGAAUGUGUCAUGUAGCGGUGAAAUGCUUAGAUAUGACACAGAACACCGAUUGCGAAGGCAGCUCACAAAACUGUAACUGACGCUGAGGCACGAAAGCGUGGGUAUCAAACAGG
rnacentral:rRNA from 1 species